CACGUAGUUAGCCGUGGCUUUCUGGUUAGGUACCGUCAAGGUGCCAGCUUAUUCAACUAGCACUUGUUCUUCCCUAACAACAGAGUUUUACGACCCGAAAGCCUUCAUCACUCACGCGGCGUUGCUCCGUCAGACUUUCGUCCAUUGCGGAAGAUUCCCUA
rnacentral:rRNA from 1 species